UACGUAGGGUCCGAGCGUUGUCCGGAAUUACUGGGCGUAAAGAGCUCGUAGGUGGUUUGUCGCGUUGUUCGUGAAAACUCACAGCUUAACUGUGGGCGUGCGGGCGAUACGGGCAGACUUGAGUACUGCAGGGGAGACUGGAAUUCCUGGUGUAGCGGUGGAAUGCGCAGAUAUCAGGAGGAACACCGGUGACGAAGGCGGGUCUCUGGGCCGAUGACUGACGUGAGGAGCGAAAGCGUGGGGAGCGAACAGG
rnacentral:rRNA from 1 species